AUUAUAUCCACAACUCAUUUGCUGGCUACAAGGACUGGAUAUAGAAUAAUGGUUUAAUAAUGGUUUUAGAAUGGUAAAUGAUCGCAGAAGCAACAUGGAAUUCAAUAGUUGAUAUUUUGACUAUAAUUACUUUUUGACACUUAUGUAUUAAAAAAAUAGCAUCCUAUUAUAUAUCUGUUACUAUGAGUUUAAUUUCUUUCAAAUUCUUCCAUAAAGUGUGAGAUUUUCUAUUUUGUAUUAUCAUCAUUGCUAGCCGGUAAUUUGAGAUCCUUUUUCUUUUAGUUAAGAAAAUAUAUUUUCGCAAAAGGCCUUUGAGAUAGGUUUUUUUUUUUCUUUUCUUUUUCUUUUUAUCUAAUUUAUCCUUCUAGAUGAUUUAGUUUAUUGGGAUAAUUUAUUAGGAUACCAGCAUAUAAAUAACUUAGUUUAUUGGAAUUUGCUAUGUGGUGUUGCUUUUAAGCAAAUUAAGUACAAUAAAGUGCAAUCGUGGCUUCUUCUUGCUCUGUGUUUUGUUUAUUGGGUACCUAUUUGUGGUUUUCCUAUAGGUCUCUAAUGUGAAAUAGAAAGAUGUUGGCGGUCUUGAGGAUGUGAAGAAAUCGAUUCUGGAUACUGUUUUUGUAGAAUACUCAUCUUGAGUUGUUGAAUGUUUAAGAAUAAGUUGUAGCAAAUUGUAAAAUAAUUGCUUGCCACUGGUAGCUUCUUAAGCGGAAGAUCCUAUUCAAUUCCUUAUCUCAUUGUUGGAUUUUCCAUUCAAUUCCUUAUCUUACUGCUGUAUUUUUCAUGGAGUUUGGGUGCACAAUUACAAGGAGAGAAAGAGAGGGUGGGUGCAGUUAUUUUCUUUUUCUAUAUGCUUCCUUUCCCAAUUUGCUUAUCUGGUUGUUGGCGUUCGUCUUCCUCCUCAAGGUAAGGACUUUUCAAUCAAUUUCUGAAGAUUUAAUAUGGGUUUUAUUGUUUUAGUUCGAACAUUCACGGAUCUAUGAGCAAUAAUUUCAGAUCUAAUGGUUUUGUUUUCGAAUUUUCCUAGCUGUGUAGUUCACCAUUUUUUUUGCUUCUGAAUCUGAAAAAUGGAUUGAAAUUUUUUAUUUUAUUUUAUUGCUGUAGACAUAACCCAGAAUUUUUUUUUUUUUUUUUCAUUUGGUGAAUUGGGUUUGGUUGUUGUACAUUUUUCUCUCUGCAUCUACACAACGUUGUUCUACCAUGCCUGGGUUUCGAAGUUCCAAAUCCAAUUUAAUGCUUCAUCAACUCCACUUAAAGGUUUGAUUAUAUUGGGGUUGAGUUUUAAAGUGAGGGUGCAGGGGAACAAGGGUGCAUGAUGUGCGCGUAGGGUGCAGGGGUUUCAGGGGCGGUAGGGGGUGGGGUGUGCCUGUGAAUUGCAGAGCUGCUCAGCUCUUCCUCUAUAAGAUGAGUUUCAUCCCUGCCUUAAUUCACUUAAAUCCUGUGAUUUCAUGCCUUUUUUGGUUCUGAUUUCAGAUGGUGGUUUCAAUUUUUGCUUUGUUCUGCCUCUAGACAGCUGCCACCACCACUUUGUCCAAAUCUGAUGGCUCAGGCUGUAGCAUCUGCGUGAAUCUCCCCGUACAAUUGGACUCCGCGAUGUUUUCCAAAUAAACUCCAAACCCCAAAGGGUGCGGCCGAAAAGUUAAAAUCUGAGACAAUCAAAUCCAAUCCAGGGAAGAGAUUGGAUAGCUUCUGAGGUGUGGCUAUGAUAUGUGCCGACAAUUCCAAAUGGAGAUGAUGCUGAAGAAGAUUUGCAGAGCGGUUUGGGAUAUCCGUGCAGCUCACAUAAGAAGAGAAUCACAACUUUUGGGCUGAGAGGUAACUGGGAUUUGUUCUUCUGGAUCAGUUUUAAGUGCAGGUUUGCGUUGGAUAUAGGAUAGUCAUGGAUCGGUUCAAAGCUUGGCUAAUGAUAGUUUCAGAUCUUGAUCAUACAAUGGCAUUGGAAAAAAAAAUAGAAAUUGGUUUUCGCUCAAUGCAUAGUUAAUCUUAAAAUACGGUUUAUUAAAUUGGGUUCAUGAAUUAUGGGUGCUAGCAAAUUAGCGACAUCGACUCCUAUAACGAAGAGGUUGAUGAGAGACUACAAGAGGCUGCAACACUACGCAAAAAGGCUGUUGAUGCUGCUGGUUUUUUUCUGUAAUCGAUUUAGGAGUUCCUAUUGUAUUCUUAAGCAUAACGUCUGACUGCCAAUGACAUAUUCUAUUGCUUUCUACAGCUGCCAAUGCCUAAACCUCCAACAAAAUGGAAACUUUUGCCAAAACAAAAGGUUGAACAAAAAUAUCUCCAGGAUCCCCAUUUUAUUAAUUGUGUUGUUAAGGUUUUUUUCAAUUGUUAUUUACGAAGGUUGUGACUCUUCAUGUUGGCACCAAAAUAAAGUUUGUAGAAGGUUGUUGACUGACGAUAAAAGAGAAGUAUGCAUAUCAUGAAAAAUAAAAGAUGGAAGUUCUGAAGUGACGACCAAGAAAUGAGACUUAAGUUUGAGUUUUGAAUUGGAGUUCUCAUGCAAGAAGAAAGGUCACUUGAGUUUUGAGUUCCUAUAUAUUUUCAUUGUUUCAUUUAUACAUCUUUUGGAGGAUUGGAGGGGAUUGGGAGGCAGAUGAGUGAGACUUCCGAUGGUUACACAGAAAUAAAUGGUCUCUCGCAUAAUUAGGAAGCAAUUGCUAAGUGAGGAUUCUCCGUUUCGCUUUGGAUAGAAAAUAAUUAAGUGAAAAUGCAUUGAUUUGGUUUUAAUUUUCCUAAUUUCUUCAACAUGUGUAUUAAACUAAAGCGAAAUGCUUAUUUCGGCGUAUGUAUUGUAUAUUAAACUCAACUAAAUGGAAAUGUUCAUUACAUUGCA